rnacentral:rRNA from 1 species
AGUGAUCCAAACUGCCCGAUCAUGAGUUGGAAUGUACGAGGUUUGAACUCGCCGGCCCGGCGGGAAGUUGUUUUGGAAACGGCGGGCGCACAAGCUAGCCAUCUGUGCCUGCAGGAAACGAAAAUCGACGAGUGGAGUAGGGCUCUAGUUAGAGAGACGGGAGGAACGCGGCUUGCCGACUGCACCGUCCUCCCUGCCAUGGGCACAAGGGGAGGAGUCACCAUCUUCUGGGAUAGAAGCAGAGUAGAGGUGCUGUCGCAUGAUGUUGGUUGCUUCUCAAUCACUGCCAAGAUCACCAUUAUCGCUAGCAGAUCUACGUUCUGGCUCACAUCAGUCUACGGGCCGGUUGACAACGGGAGGAAGAGCAACUUUCUGGCAGAGCUGGCGCGGGCUGCUCCUCCAUCAGACACCCCCUGGCUCAUCAACAUCGAUUUCAACCUGAUAUAUGAGGCACGCGACAAAAACAACACCAACAUUAAUCGUAGGAUCAUGGGAACGUUUCGUGCGGCGAUCGACGCGGCUGGACUGAAGGAGAUCAAGUGC